rnacentral:piRNA from 1 species
UCUUUUAAGAUUAAACAGCCUAGAGCCCA